CACCGUCAUCCCGAUCUCCAUCGGCAUGGUGAACUUCCCAGAAGCACUCUGCGACUUUGGCUCCAGCGUCAACAUUAUGCCCAGGGUACUCUAUGAAAAAUUCUUUACACAUCCUUUAUUAGAAACAGCCAUGUGUUUGCAGCUUGCAGAUCGUACGCUAAGUUUCCCAAAGGGAAUAUUGAAGAACCUCUGCGUCCAAGGAGGCCAUUCCUGAACACCUCGGGAGCUGUCAUCUACGCUAGUGCUGCCAAGAUCAGUUUCUACAUCAACGGGAGGAAGGAGACGUUUUCCUUCAAGAACAAGACUACACAAAUCUCAAAGCAAUCCUAACAUGAACCAAGGAAGAGGAUCAACAGGGGGAAUAGGAACAAGCAAAUGUGGACUGAGUCAGCUAAGAUGGUCACUGCAGUUCAUGGAGCUCCAGAUGGCAGGUUAGACAUUCCGAAAGGUUGAAGGUUAUUGACAUGGGAGAAGACGAGUACGAUCCACCCAUCAUCCUUGGGAGACAGUUCCUUAGCACCGUUAAAAUAAUCAUCUACAUUGGAACCGGAGAAGUCCACAUGAAUUUCCCCUCUGAGAAGGUACGCCGCUAUUUUACUGACCCUAACUAUAUAGUUGAAGACUCUAAGCAGGUCACGACAAGAAGGAGACGACGCAACCGCAACCAGAGGAGGCAAAUCAUCAAGGACAGAUGGGCAGACUACUAAGGAGAAGUUGUAAGGUCUGAAGACAUACAACUUGAACAGAAUUGUCCUGAAGAGACCAUAGGACCGAGUUAGGUGUGUAGAGAGAAGAUAACUAUACACGAAGAGGAGGCGCCGCCGGAACCACCGACUACGCCAUCCAGCAAAUCCCAGGACGACUGAGAAAAUGGAGAGUCCCGUUUGGAGGACUUAAAAACACCAAACGCCUUACCAAGAGGUAAACUUGGUAGUUAUCCAUUUCUUUUCAAUUAUUUUAAAUAGUUUGCUUAGUUAAUCAGGUUCAUAUCAUCUUGAAAAGAAAAUAAAAAUGUUAAAAAUAGUAAGCCCCAUGUGAUUAUGCUCAUGGCAUAAAACCCAUAAGUACAUUCACUGUGGUGGCAUAAAAAUGAAAUAAAUAUAUUCCUGUCCUAUAAAAAUAAAAUUAUAAAAAUAAGAUUGUGAUCCUACUAAAGAGUAACAUUUAUUAAGGAGGCUCAACAUGAUAAAGGCUAGAUAUUUAUGCUAACACUUAACUAGUUCCACAAAGCUUUGUUGUCUAUUUGAGCUCCACAGAAUUCAAGGAUCAAAGAAGACUAGCAGACGGAGGACAUCCUAAUCGCUGUCAGGGUGCUGCCGACAUUCAAAUACUCCUCCACCACUUGCUAGCUACAUCAAAAGGAAUUAUGUCAAAAUCCAGCUUGGGGGAGAGCACCCCCAUUUAUCCAGCUAAGUGUUCUACUCACGUUUAUAUUUUACUCAAAUAAUAAAAAGAUGCAUAAUCAGAAAAACCAAAAUAAAGAUUUUGUGCUUAUAUAUAUAUCUUUGCUUAGCUUGCUAAAUAAAUAAAUAAAUAAAGUUUGCUAUGAACCCUCAUGAUAAGCUCUCACAUGGAAAUGAUGAAUAGUUGCUCUGCCAUGAUUAGUUCUAAAAAUUGAAAUCUCUCUUAAGUUUAGGCAUGACUGGUAUUAAUUAAGAUUUGCUCUAAACCUGAACUUGUGGGGAGAGUACUUGAUCUAAAGUCUAAGUCGUUAACGGAUACGAUAUGGGAAGGUUGAGCUACUGUUUAUCUGUUCCUAGAGAUGCUAGAAUUCUGGAGAAUUUUAUCUUUGAAAAUCUUUAAAAUAUCACAUGAUGAGUUCCUGUAUGAUGAGAGUUUAAAUUCCUACCACAGCCAUAUAUACAUGCUUGCUAGACUUUGAGCCACACAUUUACUUUUUACUGCUUAUGAGCAUUGAGUGUGGUCAAGCUGUGUAGACCCUUAGGAGCUUGUCAUGUGGUUAAGUCAAGAUUCACUUGCACGUUCACUCAUACAUGCUGCUUCUACUCCGGAAGUACGCAUCCACAUAUAUCCACCCAUUUCCAUCUCCAGAACCAUCCAAAAAUAUUCUACUCCUAAUCUGGGAGAGAAUAGCCAAAAACAUUUCUAUUUUUCCCUAUGAAAUAAAUGCUCAAGUUAUCUUGGUUACUACCACUUGCUAUAUUAUUUGAGGAGAUGAGUGCUCUAAAAAAAAGAGAGAAAAAAAGAAAGAAUACGAGGAAAUAAAAAGGGGCAAGUGCCCGGAACCUCGAAAGAAAAGAAAAAGUGAGACGAGAGGUAAAAAUGGACAAGUGUCCGACAGUAGAAUUAGGGGUACAAGAUACCCACCUGAGAGAAAAGAAAAAGAAAAUAUAGAGCAUCUCAUUCUCCUCAAAAAGUUUCAAAAGAGCAAGAAAGGUAUGUAUCCCCUCAAAAGAGCACAAGUAGAAUUAGACUUUCACCAUUGUUAUCACCAUCAUUACCAUACACCAUUCAUUCGCCACACAUGCACAUCUUGAUUUGACUUAUUGACUUGUUCUUCUGGAUCCAUGGUUUGACUAUGCAAUAAAUGUCUUGUAAGUAUGUAUUAGCUGUCUCCCACCUAUGAGCUCCAGAUAUCGAAACCUUAUUAGAGUAGGGUGAGAGAGAAGGUAAUGCCACUAUGCCUCAUACCAAAAAUACCACAUACUUUGAGGGAAGGCAUACACCAUUAUUGCCUUGGUAAGGAUCCAGAAAUACCACAAAAGAGAGACUAGAGAGAGUCAUACAAGGAAUCUCUGAGUUUUAUUUGAAAAUCUGCAAAAACUCCAGAGCUAUAGUUAAUCGAAGAACAAGAGACAUGGCGCUUGACUAGACCGUUCUAUCUUUUAACUACUCUAGACACAAGUGACGGUUGCAAGCCUCAUGGUGGAAGGUAAUAUGAGUAAGUUUAAAUCUUAACAGUUUACCCUAACCCAGAGAUGAGAUCUUGUUUGAAAGCAUGUAUAUCUUUAAGGCAUGAAACCACUGCAGAAACUCUUGAGUUCAUCUUUGCUCAGGGACGAGCAAAGGUUAAGCUUGGGGGAGCUUGUUGACGGUCCUUAAUGCUCACAUUUAACCAUUAACUAAUCAUGGAAAAGGACUUAAAUGCAACCAACACCUAGACUUAGGGUUUUAUCUGACAGAAUUCCACGAGUUUUAGCGUUUGUCUAUUUCUGCAGGGGGUUAUCAGGAAAUACGAAGGAAACGCCCACACGUCGGGUUUACAUAGAGAUAUUAACGUGCCGCGCAAUUUUCUACCAUCUAGAAGACUCCAGAAGCCACGGGACCGAAGCGGAGGCCGAGAGGACUCAGGGACAGGGCGCCCGCCCUCCUCUCCUGGGCGCCCGCCCUCAUACAGAGUCCAAUCAGGAAUCUCUUUUGGGAUAUUGCUCCACCGACCUAAAGUAUCAAGGAUAACCGUUCAAUCAAUGUCGGUUUGAUCCAACAGCCUAGAUUCACUUGAAGGGACUAUAAAACCAGACCCCCUGGCCCCUGGAGAUCAUACCUCUUCUACAGAAUCAAAGUUAGCGUUUCAAUUCUUCAUCCAAGUAGAGAGGAUCCCUCUAGUUCUUCUAGUUCUACCUCUAGUUCAUCUAGAUCUAGUUCUAGUUCAUCUAGUUCUAGUUCUAGUUCUAGUUCCUCUAGUUCUAGUUCUGGUUAGUUCUAGUUGUAAUCUAGAAAAUAGGGAGAGAGAAGAGGAGAGCGGAGGAGGAGCCGGAUCUGUCGGAUCUUCCUCAACAUUGUACUUUUGCAGCAAGUGUUUCGUUCUUCAUCGUUCUCUAGGUUCUUCAAUUCAUAAUUCCUGAGUUCUCUAAUUACUUUUAUUUACUUCAAGUUAUUUAUUGGAUUCCCGCUUGCAUCAAGUGCUCUAGUCUUUAUAAUGCUAGAGUAGUAAUUAAUAGAUUAGACGUGGUGUUUAGUCUUGCAAUUACCUAGAAUUGCACCCAAUCCUGCGGAUUGUUAUGGUAGCCUUAGGGUUGUGACAGCCCUAACGGUCGACGUAUUCCACCUCGUUC
rnacentral:lncRNA from 1 species